rnacentral:misc_RNA from 1 species
GAUGAAGAACGUAGCGAAAUGCGAUAAGUAAUGUGAAUUGCAGAAUUCAGUGAAUCAUCGAAUCUUUGAACGCAUCUUGCGCUCCUUGGUAUUCUGAGGAGCAUGCCUGUUUGAGUGUCAUUAAGUUCUCAACCGCACUGACUUUGAAUUGGUGUGGCUUGGAUUUGGGGGGAAAAUUGUUGUGGGCUUUUUUGUAUAGUCUGCUCCCCUGAAAUUGAUUAGCGGUACCUUUGUGGAACUGUCUACAGGUGUGAUAAUUAUCUACAUCCUAGACAUCUGCUGGAAUGCUGCUUUCUAAACCUUACUUGUAUUGACAAUCUUGACCUCAAAUCAGGUAGGACUACCCGCUGAACUUAAGCAUAUCAAUAAGCGGAGGA